rnacentral:lncRNA from 1 species
GGCUGCCCUCACUCAGUACUGUAGUGCUCAACUCAAUCGAAUGCGUUUCUUCUGACCUUUGAAAGCACUAAUUGGAAUCCCUUUUCACUGUCUUUCCUCCCAGCUCAGACUCAGACUGGCUCCUCUCCAGUCUCCCUGUUCCUCUUGCAUUACCUGCUCCCACCUCAAUUUCCCCCAUAUUUUCCUCAUUUUGUCUUAAUUCGUACUAUGUUGGGUUUUUUCCCCUUUUUUUCUCUUCUUUGUCCAUCUUUCAUCAUUCCCUAACCCCUACGUAGUUUAAUAAUAUUUUUACUAUUUUCAAUAUGUAAUUUCUCAAUCUAUUCAAGAUCAUUACUCUCAUUUUAUACCUGGAUUAGAGCAAUUGUGGGAAAUGACUUCAAUAAUUUUUUUUAAAAAAAAAAUGUUUAUUAUUUUAUGGCUUUUUUCUGAAGUGAUUGCAUUAAUAGGUUGAGGCUCUUUUCUCAAAGUGGUUCUGGACACUGGGCAGAGUUAAAGUCCUGACAUAGGUAUUUGCUGACCUGGGACACUUAGCAAAGAGAAAGCACCUCACUAAAUAAAGUCCCUUAUGUAAAAGUAGAAGAGCUAAUCAUCCCAGCAGAUGGGUGAAAAUACUAAAAAUAUGAAAAAAAUAGGGAACAAUUCACCCAAACAGCUUACAACACAACUGAUGCCAUUGAUCACAGUGGAGGAAAUGCCAGAGAAAAAAUUUAGGAACUUGGUAGUUAAAUUGUUCAAUGAACUUAAAAAAAAAAACCUAAGUAAUAAACUAAACUAAAAGAGGAAGUACAGAAAAAGAAAAAACAUUUCAAUAAAGAGAUGGAGAUUUUGAAAAAGAACCCAACAAAUCUCAGAAAUCAAAGAAUCAAUUAGUCAAAUUAAAAACUCAGCUGAAAGCAUCACCAACAGAUUAGACUCCACAGAAGAUGGCUUUUCAGGCCUCAAAGACACAGUAUAUGAUCUUGAAAACAAAGUCAGCAAAAGAAAGGGAAGAUGAUAAGAGACCAUGACUAGAAUAUUCAAGAAAUCUGGGAUAAUUCUGAGCAGAAUCUUGAAAGCUAGGUAGAGGUGUCCCAGGAAGGCAGGCGGGGAGAAAGGCCAGAGCACAGGCUCGACCCUGCACUCUGCCUGGUGCCCUGGGCCCUACAAGCAGAUCUGCACGGCUGCACCAAGAGCUGUGCGGUCCAGGAGACUUCAGGCCUGACCCUCAGCAUCCAGCCGCCUGCCACCUGCUCCCUGCACGACCUUUCUCCCUCUCCUGUCACUCAACCCCUUUCUCUCACCAGCCUUCACUGGGAGCCACCUUGAUCAGAUCCCUCUCCACUGCUCAACCGCAGGUGAGCUUCCACAAGGACUGCCAACUCCAAAACAGCCCAAAGCAUCCUCUCCUCCUCUUCCUCUAGUUCUACUGAGAAAGCCUUAACAGUCACAAAGAGUGAACCUCCAAAAACUUACUCGACCUUGCCUGCAUUUCCUCUGUCAGGUCACGUCCCCAAAGCCCAAAACUCUUGAAGUGCUCUGUUAAUUCUCAAGCCUCUAUGAAAUAGGAAAGGACUUCUAUUAUCCUGAACUUACAAGUCUGCUGAACUAUUUUAAAAAUUAAUCAAUCUAUAAUGCAUAUACUGAAAGCCUUAUGCCCAAAGCAUACAGAUUGCAGGGGGAAGUAGUUCACUGGGUUGUCUUAGAGUUUCAUAUGGUGAUGAGAAAACGGCACCUGUCACUCCCCACCCCCAAGAAAUGUCCCGGAUUUCAUGAGACUCCCUACGGUCUGAUUGGGAGAAAGGACAUGAAUCAGAGUUCCAGAAAUGAAUGCCAAAUUACAACCGGAUAAACACUUCCAUGGAAGAAGCAUCCCUAGUGCUGGCAGUGCGUAAUGGGGAUUCACCCAGAGACGAGGCAGAGAGGCAGCUAUGUGAAGGCGAGGUGUUGGGAGCAUGGGAAGGACCCUCCAGGCCAAAAGGGGCCCAAGGACAAUGCCAAGACGGCAGGAGGAUGGCACCUUUCUCCAGGUGAAAGUAGGUGAAUGUGGCUAAAUGAAGAGAGCCCGGCGUGCAGAAG